UGGGCCCUUUUGGUAAUGAGCCUUGAGAAUCUCCUUCCAAAAUACCUUUUGCCCCCUUCUUACCUGCAGGGGGACUCUGGUACAGAAACAUGGGUCGAGAGCUCAGGACCUUUUGCAGGAUCUGGGUUUCCGCUGAGGUUUCUGCUCAGGGAUGAGGCUGUGGGAAUGAAACCAGAGAGUGUGCCAGAUGGCAGGGUGUGGGAAGUCUCGGGCUGGAAAGGGAUGGCCAAGAUAAACAAGCGACUGGAGGUCUGAAAAAUGAAUGGAUAAACAUCCAGACCAAAGUCAACAGAUCUGGAGAAUCCAACCCAGUCUCUGCUGCCAGGGAGGUUUAACACGAAAACCUCAGAUCAGUGUUAAAACUCAGACAUCAUUCUUGGUCUGUAAGGAUACACAGUCUGGACUCUUCCUGUUUCUCAAAGUGUGGUCCCUGGAGCACCAACCCACCCCCAGGGAUGCUUGUUUAAAAUGCAGGUUUUUAGCCCUACCUCGAGACCUGGCCUCUGGAGGCCAGCUCAGGAAGCCGCUAAUACAACAAAUGCCUCAAGUGAUUCUCAAGUUCAGUCAAGUUCAAGAAUGUGCUACAGGCGGGGGGAGGGGGCGAACUGCUCAAAUCCAGGUUCCUAAUCUCAGGCUGCUGACCCCAGCCAGGCCCCGAUCCCUUUGUGUAUUCUCCAAUGGUGGGAAAAUUGUUUCGACUUUUUGGUACCUAGAAUGACCACCAAGAGAGAGGCCCCUGCUUGUGGGCCCAGGAAUGCUUUAGGACAUCACUUCCCUGCACCCCCAGAGAGCUGGAGGGUGAGUCUGUAUCACGUGGGCCAGCCCAAAGGCUGUAUCAGACCAUGACCAGGUUGUCACCAAUCCGUGUCCAACAGAGAAGAGUAAGGGGAAAGCUAAAUUUAUUCAAAUGAUUAUGUGACUGUUAGUCGUAUCUUUUAGUGGUUUUAAAAUACCUUUCCUUCUGAAUGUUUAUUUUCAAUUUACUUACUUCAUAUAAAAUUCAAAAGGCACAAAAUCCUCCCAGCUUAACACUAUCCCACCCUAGAAUUUUCACUCCCAAAUCCAGAAGCAGCCAGUGUCACUGAUUUCUUAUUCUUCAAGAAAUACUCUAUGUAUAUGAAAGUGGAUACAUUUAUAGAAACUCAUUUUUAAUAAAGCAGGUAGCAUUCUGCAUCUUUUUUUCACUUAACAUCUUUUUUGAAAAAAUUUCUCUCCACCCCCCUUGUUGUUUGUACUUGCUGUGUCUGUUCUUCUUCCUUGUUUCUUUUUUUAGGGGAAGAACCGGAAGCCAAAUCCAGGACCUCUGAUGUGGGAGGGAGGUGCCUAAUCAUUUGAGCCACCUCUGUUCCCUGCUUUUGUUGUGUCUCUCAUUGUUCAUCCUGCCCCUGUCUCCUGCUGUGCCAUCCUGUCACGCCAGCUUGUCAUGCCCAUGGGGUCAGCUCACUGCCUUCUUUAGGAAGCACCAGGAACUUCUGCUCCCUGCUUGUUGUGUCCCUCAUUAUGUUUCCUCUUCCUGUGUCUCUUGUUGUGUCAGCGUGCCGAGUCUGCCCAUCGUGUCAGCUCGCUGUCUUCCCUAGGAUGCUCCUUGACCUGUGUGGAGCUGGCCCAUGCGCAGUGCUGAUGUGUGCAAGGAGUGCCCUGCUACGCAGGGGUGCAACCGCGUAGGGGAGCCCCACGCGCAAGGAGUGCGCCCUGUAAGGAGAGCCGCCCAGCACUAAAGAAAGUGCAGCCUGCCCAGGAAUGGCACCACACACACAGAGAGCUGGCACACAAGAUGACACAACAAAAAGAAACACAGAUUCCCGUGCCACUGACAACAACAGAAGCAGACAAAGAAGAACACGCAGCAAAUAGAUACAGAGAACAGACAGCUGGGGAGGGGGGAGGAAAGGGGGAGGGGAGGGGAGGGGAGGGGAAAUAAAUAAAUAAAUAAAUCUUUAAAAACAACAACAACAUCUUAUACAGAUACUUCAACGUCGGUACAUUUGGGGAAUC
rnacentral:lncRNA from 1 species